rnacentral:miRNA from 1 species
UUAACGGCUGGAUAUAUUUGUUGC